UUGGUGGUUUUGCCGUGAGGGUACACCCGGUCCCAUCCCGAACCCGGUAGUUAAGCUCACGAGCGCUGAUGGUACUGCCCGGGUAACUGGGUGGGAGAGUAAGCCACCGCCAACC
rnacentral:rRNA from 1 species